rnacentral:rRNA from 1 species
AUUGAACGCUGGCGGCAUGCUUUACACAUGCAAGUCGAACGGUAAACCUAUUAUUGAAACUUCGGUCGAUUUAAUUUGUUUCUAGUGGCGGACGGGUGAGUAACGCGUGGGUAACCUGCCCUAUACAGGGGGAUAACAACCAGAAAUGGUUGCUAAUACCGCAUAAGCGCACGGGACCGCAUGGUCCAGUGUGAAAAACUCCGGUGGUAUAGGAUGGACCCGCGUUGGAUUAGCUAGUUGGUGGGGUAACGGCCCACCAAGGCAACGAUCCAUAGCCGGCCUGGGAGGGUGAACGGCCACAUUGGGACUGAGACACGGCCCAGACUCCUACGGGAGGCAGCAGUGGGGAAUAUUGCACAAUGGGGGAAACCCUGAUGCAGCGACGCCGCGUGAAGGAAGAAGUAUCUCGGUAUGUAAACUUCUAUCAGCAGGGAAGAUAGUGACGGUACCUGACUAAGAAGCCCCGGCUAACUACGUGCCAGCAGCCGCAGUAA